rnacentral:rRNA from 1 species
UUCCAGACUCCUACGGGAGGCAGCAGUGGGGGAUAUUGCACAAUGGGGGAAACCCUGAUGCAGCGACGCCGCGUGAGUGAAGAAGUAUUUCGGUAUGUAAAGCUCUAUCAGCAGGGAAGAAGAUGACAGUACCUGAGUAAGAAGCCCCGGCUAACUACGUGCCAGCAGCCGCGGUAAUACGUAGGGGGCGAGCGUUAUCCGGAUUCACUGGGUGUAAAGGGAGCGUAGACGGCCAUGCAAGCCAGGGGUGAAAGCCCGGGGGCCAACCCCGGGACUGCCCUUGGAACUGCAUGGCUGGAGUGCGGGAGGGGCAGGCGGAAUUCCUGGUGUAGCGGUGAAAUGCGUAGAUAUCAGGAGGAACACCGGCGGCGAAGGCGGCCUGCUGGACCGCGACUGACGUUGAGGCUCGAAAGCGUGGGGAGCGAACAGGAUUAGAUACCCCAGUAAC